GUGCUUAACACAUGCAAGUCGAACGAACCUUCGGGUUAGUGGCGGACGGGUGAGUAACGCGUGAGAAUCUGCCCUCAGGAGGGGGAUAACAGCUGGAAACGGCUGCUAAUACCCCAUAUGCCGCGAGGUGAAAUGAAUUUCGCCUGAGGAUGAGCUCGCGUCUGAUUAGCUAGUUGGUGUAGGUAAAGGCUCACCAAGGCAUCGAUCAGUAGCUGGUCUGAGAGGAUGAUCAGCCACACUGGGACUGAGACACGGCCCAGACUCCUACGGGAGGCAGCAGUGGGGAAUUUUCCGCAAUGGGCGAAAGCCUGACGGAGCAACGCCGCGUGAGGGAUGAAGGCCUCUGGGCUGUAAACCUCUUUUAUCAAGGAAGAAGAUCUGACGGUACUUGA
rnacentral:rRNA from 1 species